GUCUGGGACUCAUGGCUCCACCCCCUUCUCCCCUCUCCCACCUGGGCCGUUGCCAGGGGAACCUACUCCCAGCAACCUCCACCCUCCCUUUCAUUUGCGUCUCAUUAACAUCUUGUCUGCAUCCCACAACAGGCAGAUGGCCCUGUGCAGGGCUGAGCUGGAAGAGGUGACCAGGGCCUCCUCGCACCUUGCCCACCAGAGUGAGCCUGGCCUGCAGCUCCCUGCACUCCCGCUGCAAGGCAGCAAUCUGCUUGUCCUUGGCCAGCAGUGCACUGGCUGUCUCACUGAGGUCCCGGGCUCGCUGGCGGGCUAGGGCCUUCCGACACAACUCCAAGCUGGUCCCCGGCCGGGGCAAGGGGGCACUCACCUAGCCAGAGGAGGGGUUGGCUGAGCUCUUCCCCACCCACAAAGGAGGCUGCAGAAGGCGCCAGGGCUGCUGGAGCUGGAGCCAGGGCCUCCUGCCCCCAACAGGAUUCCUCACAUCCCAGGACCAGCUGGAAAAGGUGGUGAGAGUUGGAAAGAGACUGCUCAGUGAGGACUGCCCUGCGAACCAGCUUGGAUUCAUCCCGUUCACCUCCACGUUCUGCACUCGGGGCCGAGGGAAGGGAGGCAGCCCAGGCAGCUAGAGAACUUGAUGAAACACACUCAAUCUGAAUCUCGCUUGAUCGUCAUGCUGACCCAGUGAGGUAAGUGAUGGUAUCCCCAUCUCAGAGAUGAGGAACCGGAAACUCAGCGAGGUUAAGUUUCACCUUCCUGAAAAUCGGGCACCCCGUUUCUGUUCCCCAGAGGGAGCUCAAUUCAAAGUCCCCAAAGAACAGGUCUUCUGUGAAGACCUGUUCUCCCCUCACAACCCCGUUGGAAAAAGCAGUGGGAGCGACCCAGGGCGGACCCUCUGGCCCAGGCUUGUGGGUUGGGGGGCAGAGGGGCCUAACUGGGUGGCCAGGUGGCCCGCAGAGUCUCUCCAGCAGCAGAUGGCCUCCCCAGCCCUUUCCUUCAGAGCCUAUUAAGCAGUCAAAUGGGGGAGGGUUGGCCCCCAAGGCCAGGGACCCAGCAGCAGCAGCAGCUCACAGCACUGGAGCCGUUAAAAAGUGACUCAACCAGAAAGUGCGUUUGAAGUGACGCCCGCCAGGGCCCCAGAGCCCCAGAGCCCCAGAGCCAAACCUCAAAAAGACGAAGUGAGAGAGACAGGCCUGCGGGGGCUGGGCCGGGGGUGGAGACCCAGCCUGGAGCUGGCCUGGCCAAAUAAGGGCAAAUGCACUAGGGCGGGCCAAUGGGGCAACAGCGGCUGGCUGCGUCAUGGGGCUGCGGCUCUGGGGAGGGGGAGGUGAGAAGCCUGGGACAAAAUGGGGGUGGGUGUCAGGGGUCCCGGCACCUCUUCGAGGGGUCCCAGGGUGGGUGAACACAGGAGGCAUGGAAGCCCUCACCCCCAAGGAGCCUUUGUUACUAAGGUCAGUGGACCUGCAACCCCAGAGCCCCACCUGCAGGCUGGAUGGGGUUCAAGGAAGAAAAAGGGAAACCUGGAGGACCCCCAUGCCCCUGCCCCAGUUAUGGGCCCUGGAUCCCCAUCUGCCAUGGAGAACUGAAGGGAGGCCAUAGGGACAGCAGCGUUGUGCAAGGGGAAAGGCUGAAGCACCAGUGCAGCUUCACCAGGCCACUGACUGUGGGCGAGAGAUGUAAUGGAAACUCAGUUUUCUCAUCUGUGAAAGGGGAAUAAUAUUGCCUCGUGGGAUGGCACUGAGGGUCAAAUGCAAUAAUAGAGGUGGCCCAUUUUGAACCUGGAAAUUGCCAUAGGGAUGUAAUAGAUGAUUAGUGUAGAGGCACAAGGCCAAAGGCUGCUUCUUAGAUUCUUGUUUCCAGGUGCUAUAAACGAUCCCUUUGCAAGGAUAUCAUGUGGUUCUCAAUUUUGGCCCCUGGUGUCUAGAACAAGGUAGGGGGAGGUGCCAAGGCCAGAGGGAUUCCUGAAUCUUAGUCCCUAAGCAAAAGCAGAAGAGACUGAUGCCUGCCUGCCUCCAGCUGAUUCCCCAGGGACAUACCCCCCUUCAUUUCUCCUGCAUCUCCUCACCUUCCAUGAAUCCAGACCAUGCCCCACCCCUCCUCCUGAGACCCCGCCCUCCAUCUCCCGGCCUCUCUGGGGUGCAGGGCAGAGGAAGUGAGUCUACUCAGCUGACCAGAGAAAGUGCUGCAGCUGCCUGCACAGGGUGGGCCGACUGCUGUCUUGUUCAGUGCCUGUGAUAACUCCCUUGCCUCAGGCCUCUCCAGCCCCUGCUGGGACCACUGGCCCAGGAGGAAGUCUGGGCUCUGGCUGCCACCUGCUUCCUCUCAGGAGUUCUUCUCCCUCCCAAGCAUGGAUUUGCAUUUCCCCCUCUGCCUUCUGCUACUCAAGCCCCCAGGGAUGAGGUGACAGUUAACCCCCCACUUCCUGCUAGUGGCCCCAGAGCGCUCACUUCCUUCCAGGUAUUUUCCGGGAUGGGGGAAGGGGUUGAAAGGGUGGUAGUUGCUGGGUUUGGAAAGGGGAUGAGGGAUCCAUUUUGGAGAGAAACUGAGGUCCCCCUACCCUGCUGUCUGAAGCUGCUCCUUCCCUUCCCUCACGCUCACUCUGUAACACAAGAGCUCAGUUUGCAGGAAGAAGAGUGCAUAGGCCGGAAGCAGCACACAGGGGCUUUCAAAAUGGGCUAGGCCAGCUCUCUCUUAGAGGCCCAGGCCUCUAUCCGCCAUAGAUAGACCCCCAAGGAAAGUUCCUUGGACUUCAAGUUCCCUAUCGGGACAACAUAAUGUCUGCCCUCUACCCGGAAGGCAGAGGGUUGAGAAUGGGGGAGUGCCAAGGCAUAGAGGGGAAAUGUUUUCCAUCCUAUUUCUCAGAGGAUCUGGCAUGCUGGUACCAGCAGCACAAGGCAGAGUGUUCUCUGCACUCAGUUCCCGCUUCCUGGGAUCUUAUGGCAGAGAAACACAGCAUCUUUAGACAAGAGGUACUGAGCUAGGCAGUGUAGGACAUACAAAGUAGCAGCGACCCGCUCCUGAAGUCAAGCUGACCAGUCUCUGGGGCUCAGUCCUCUCCUCUAAAAAGUGAGGGGCUGGCCUAAGUCAUGACUCCCCCAGUCCUAAUGUUCUGUGGUCUGCCUUCACUCCUCUGUAGACUCUGCAUUUCACCUUCCCACUGGUGAAGGCCUCGAAACCCCAAGACUGAGGCAGGCAGCCAUGUGCUCUUCUCCCCAGUCUAAACCUUAUUGGUGCAACCUAUAGCAAUUUUUACCAAGUGUGGCUGUCUGUUCUCCUAGGUCAGACAAGACUGGAAGGGGGACAGCCACACAUGAGCAACAGAAGUGACAGCUGACAGGUUGCUAUGAAUCCAAGAGGUAGAAAAAGAGUCAGUCCCGGAACCAUUUCACCACAUGAUACAAAAAUGGAGGUUUACAACAAUGACUUUGAACCAAAUCAGGUUAAAUCACAUUCAGAAUCUUGUAUCCAAAUAGCAAGGAAGUAUAUAACACAUUUUUAAAAAUUUAAGCUAGGUGUAGUGGCACAUGCCUGUAGUCCCAGCUACUUGUGAGGCUGAAGCGGGAGAAUCUCUUGAGCCCAGGAAUUCAAGGCCAGUCUAGGCAACAUAGUGAGACCCUGUCUAAAAAAAAAGAACCACAGAAAAACAAACAAAAAAACAAAAAAAAAACCCAAACCAAACUUUAUCUUAUAAAAAACGAGAACAUAAAGAUUAAAAUUUUAAAAAAACCUUGGCCAGGCACAGUGGCUCACGCAUAUAAUCCUAGCCUUUUAGGAGGCUGAGGCCGAAGGAACACUUGAGGCCAGGAAUUUGAAACCCUGUCUCUACAAAAAAUACCAAAAAUACCCCCAAAAUGAGCUGGGUGGAGUGGUGCGCACCUGUAUUGUUAGAUACUCUAGGAGCUGAAGUGAGAGGAUUGAUUGAGCCCAGGAGCUGGAGGCUUCAGUGAGCUACAAUCGUGCCACUGCGCUCCUGCCUGGGAAACAGAACAAGACCCUGUCUUUGGAAAAAAAAAAAAAAAAAAAAAGCCCUGGUGCUUGAAGGAAAAUGUUUCUGUUUUGAUUCAGUUUUGAUGUAUUUAUGUAUGAUAUAUGUGGUGGAACACCUAUUACCAUUACCCAACAAUGCUGGAAGGAUGAAAUUCUUGUCACACCUAUCUAGAACUUACCUAGAGAUAGGCAACCUUGGAUAAUGACAAUUCCUUACAUAGUUUACAACUCUCAAAUUGCUUUUGCCUAAAUUAUUGUAUUUGAUUUUUUUUUUUUUUUUUUUGAGACAGGGUCUUGCUCUGUUGCCCAGGCUAGAGUGCAGUGGCACAACUGGGACUCACUGCACCCGUGACCUCCUGGGCUCAAGUGAUCCUCCUGCCUCAGCCUCCCAAGUAGUUGGGACUACAGGCGUGUGCCACCACGCCCAGCUAAUUUUAAAAAAAUUUUUAGUAGAGACAGGGCAUCGCCCUUUGCACAGGCUGAUCUCAAACUUCUGAGCUCAAGCAAUCCACCUGCCUCAGCCUCCCAAAAUGCUGGGAUUACAGGCGUGAGCCACCACACCCAGCCAAAGCAAACUUUUUAUUUGAAGUAUAACAGUGAACAAAUCCUAAGUAUAUAACAAUAUAUUUCCAGAAAGUGAACUGACCUACAUAACUAGCAUCAAGAUCAAGAUAAAAGGCCGGACGCAGUGGCUCAUGCCUGUAGUCCCAGCAGUUUGGGAGGCCGAGGUGGGUGGAUGGCUUGAGCCCAGGAGUUCGAGACCAGCCUGGGCAGCAUGACAAAACCCCGUCUCUACCAAAAUAUAAAAAUUAGCUGGAUGUGGUGGUGGAUGCCUGUAGACCCCGCUACUUGAGGCACUGAGGUGGGAGGAUCAACUGAGCCCAGGAGGUUGAGGCUGCAGUGAGCCAUGAUCAUGCCACUGCACUGCAGUCUGGGUGACAAAGUGAGACCCUGUCUCAAAAAAAAAAAAAAAAAGUGAAAGAAAAUAAAAGAAAGAAAGAAAGGGAAGGAAGGGAGAAAGAAAAGAAAGAAAAAGGAAGGAAGGAAGGAAGGAAAGAAAGAAACAAAAUAUAACCAGCACCUUAGGUGCUUCUCAUGCCCUCCUCCACCACCACCUAUCACAGCUAACCACGAUCCUGCCCUUAACAUCAUAGUUUUGUCAACUGCACUUCCUAGACAAGAAACUUCAUUUUAGAGGUGACUUGGGAAAGUCACAGGGUUGGUGGCUGGUGGAGGCAGCAGGGCCAGGACUCUGCCCUUAGUUAGAUACAUGUAUUUUCAUCGCACAAGUCUCAGUGUUCCAGUGGGGUGUGACGGUGCCAUCAUCAGUCUGCAGAUUGAGGGAGGUGAGGAGGAAAAAGAGAGGUUGGGAGGUGUGGGGCACACAGGUCAGCAGGUGCGUAAGAGCUGCUGGAGUGGAAUAGAAGAUGCAGCCAGGGGUAACUCAUGAAGGGCUAGACUGGUUUCCCAAUGCUCUGCACAGGAAUCCUUGAGUAAAUCCCAAGGAUCCCCUCCCUGGGCCAUUGCCCCACUGCCUCCAUCUCUUUGGCUAAUUUUAGACUUAGGGACUAGAGUGGUGGGAUUAGAGUGGUUGGUGGGCUCAACGUGUAGGGACAAUGUGUUGUAAUAACUUCACUCAGAAGAAAGCUAAUGCCUCACACUGGUUCUGUUGAACACUUAUGGAGGGAAAAAAACUUGCUGUGUUUGUGGACAACUAUGUCACAAACAGUUAGUAGCCCUAAACUUAGUGUGGACAUUAUAUUUCUUGAGCUGAGGCUCCACUACUUGAUUAUGGCUAAAACACUUUUAACUCUUUUCUUCCCCACCCCGAGACAGAGUCUUGCUCUGUCACCCUAGCUGGAGUGCAGUGGCACGAUCUUGGCUCACUGCAACCUCCGCCUCCCGAGUUCAAGCACUUCUCCUGCCUCAGCCUCCCAUGUAGCUGGGAUUACAGGCGCCCGCCACCACACCUGGCUAACUUUUUAUAUUUUUAGUAGAGACGGGGUUUCACCAUCUUGGCCAGGCUGGUCUUGAACUCCUGAUCUCAUGAUCCACCCACCUUGGCCUCCCAAAGUGCUGGGAUUACAGGCAUAAGCCACCGUGCCCAGUCAAGACACUUUAACUCUUUGAGUCUCAGUCUCCUCAUCACCAAAUAAGGAUGUUAACUAGUUCCAGGGUUUCUGUGAGAAUCAAAUGAGAUACUGGAUAUGAAAGCCCUUUGUCAACUGUAUUUGGGUUUGUUUUGUUGUUUUCUGAGACACGGUCUCACUCUGUCCCCCAGGCUGGAGUGCAGUGGCGCCAUCACGGCUCACUGCAGCCUCAAACUCCCAGACUCAAGGGAUCCUCCCACCUCAGCCUCCCAAGUAGCUGGGACUACAGGUGUACACCACCAUGCCUAGCUAAUUUUUUGUAGAGAUGGGCUUUUGCCAUGUUGCCCAGGUUGGUCUUACACUCCUGGGUUCAAAGUGAUCUGCCCGCUUUGACCUCCCCAAGGUGCUGGGAUUAGAGGCAUGAGCCACAGCACCCAGCACCUUUGUCAACUGUAAAAAUAUUUACAUGAAAGGCUUUACUGAUACUAAACAUGAACCAGACUUCCAGACAAAGUUAUUAUUAGUCUGUUCUUAAACAUGACCUACCUGCCUCUUUCAUAGAGACCAGAUGUCAGGGAGGGGACCUGAGGAUCAAGUAGCAGGCUGCAGACAGACUAGGAGUAACAAGGCAGAAGCCACACCAAGAGCAAAGCCUCAGUUCCCAACCCUGGUGAAACUGCUCCCCUCCAAGACCAGACCAUCCUGACCCUUGCUCUAUCAGCUACCAGUCCUUUCUUGAGCUGGAGGCUGCAUUAUCAAUGCACUGCCACUGAGCUCCUCAGUGUUCUGGGAGACCCUAAUUCCACAGUAUGUGGCAGGGAGGAAGCAGGGAAUGAGGCAAGGGCAGGCAAGGGGAAGGCAGCCUGGCUACUAUUCCUAGUCUCUGUCUGACUUGCAUCUGUCCUUGUUGAGCUAGGGAGGAGGCUUGCUCUUCAGGAGAGAAGCCAAACUACUGAGCAAGACAAGGAGAGAUCUUAAGAUGCUAUGCACUCAGAACUUCGGCAGCCAGGACGGGACUGAAACUCUGACAGACACAAUGGGCCAAUGGGGCAGGACAUAGCUCUCAUGGCUGCCCUCAUAGCCAUGGAAAGCAGGGCAGCAGUACCAGGACCGCCCACUCCCAGGGAGCUGUGAACCAAGUCCUUGUCUUAGUUUCUUUGGGUUCCCAGUAGAGGAUGGGACUCCAGCACCUUUCUGCCUGUCUGGGUUGCUGAGUGGCACCACCUGCAUGUUCAAGUACCAGAGAAAGCAAGAAAGCUAAUUCAGCAGCAGCUCCCGGGGAGAGCCCACUUGGCACAGUCUGUAGAGUCCAGGAAGGAAAACAGGCCACCCUUCCCCCACAAGCAUCAAUGCCUAUGCUAUGUCUUUUGCUUCCUGUGAGACUGUCAGUUAGGGCCCAGUUCAGUGUAGGGCUGAGGCAGCCUGAAUGUGGUUAUUUGUGCAAGCUCCUCUUGCCUCCCCUCCCCACAACUGUUUCCAUUCUCACCAAGCAGCCACGUCCGGGUCAGACACCCAGGACAGCAGCUGGGGCUUUCCAAGGGACUUUUUGAGAAGCUAGUGAAAGUUGGGUGUUGGCUGCACAGCCUGGGCACUUGCUGAAACGCACUUCUUCCAUCCAGGACGUAAGCUCUAGCCUGGCAGGGUUGCUUUCAGGUUGAAAUUGAACAGAAAUCACCACCCACGGAGCUUUCUGUUUGCUGGGCUGGGGAAAUCCUUGAGAAACUCAGUUUGGAGUUGGGGUUAUCUGACCAUUCCCUCAGAGCUUGAAGGCACCAGAGAAAAUGGUUUUGGUUUGAAGACCAUAGUGGACAUGAGCAGCCCGGCCAGUCCCAGUUUCCCUCCCAUAGGCCUAUGUGAGGACAAGGAAGGGGAGUAGACAAACUAAUCAGAGUCAGGUCGCAUCUCUCCUCCUUCCCACACUCUCCAGGCCACAGGUAACAAGCAAAAUCAACUCAAGAGCAACACCAGGUGGCUGAGACACAAAGCCCUAGCACAGGCAGCUCUGCCCUAGCACAGCACAGCUCACCCUGCAGUUGUGGUUCUCAGCAUUUCCCCUACUAUUUUGGCUGAUUGUGCACAUAUUCUAUGUAUUGAAAAAUGGCCCAA
rnacentral:lncRNA from 1 species